rnacentral:rRNA from 1 species
AUGGAUCUCUCGCGGCCGGAGUCGUCGGACCUCUCGCUCGGGCUCCACCCGCACGCCCACGCCCAUGCGCGCGUGCACGCGCGCGCCGCCACGCCGCUGCGGCUGUUCGACGACUCGGACGACGUCAAGACGGAGGGCAGCGUCGGGGGCGGCGGCGACGGCGAGGACGGGAACGACGAGGGCGCCGACCAGCACUUCUCGCUCCUCGGCCACUCGCUCUGCGUCAAGCGCCCGCGCCGCGGGCUCUACGGCGGCGGCGGGGGAGGGGAGACCUCCUCCUGCUCGUCCUCGUCCGCGGCGGCCAUGCGCCCCGCGAAGCGCCAGGCGUCGGGCGCGGAUCUGGAGGCGCGGCGCAGCGCGGUCCGCGCGUGGGGGAACCAGCCGCUCGCGGAGGCCGACCCGGACGUGCACGCGCUCAUGGAGCGCGAGAGGGAGCGCCAGGUGCGCGGCAUCGAGCUCAUCGCCUCGGAGAACUUCGUCUGCCGCGCCGUGCUCGACGCCCUCGGCAGCCACCUCACCAACAAGUACUCCGAGGGGCACCCGGGCGCUCGCUACUACGGCGGGAACCAGCACAUCGACGCCAUCGAGCGGCUCUGCCAUGAGCGCGCCUGCACCGCCUUCGGUCUCGACCCGGCCUGCUGGGGUGUCAAUGUCCAGCCCUACUCAUGCACCUCCGCGAACCUGGCGGUCUACACAGGGCUUCUCCUACCCAAUGACCGUAUCAUGGGCCUUGAGCCGCCGUCCGGUGGCCAUGUCAGCCACGGGUAUUACACGCCUAGUGGUAAGAAGGUGUCUGGCGCCUCGAUAUUCUUUGAGAGCUUGUCAUACAAGGUGAAUCCACAGACUGGCUAUAUUGAUUAUGACAAGCUUGAGGACCGGGCAAUGGAUUUCCACCCAAAGAUUCUUAUCUGUGGUGGGAGUUCCUACCCCAGGGAGUGGGACUUUGCACGGAUGAGGCUGAUAGCUGACAAGUGUGGCGCAGUGCUCAUGUGCGACAUGGCGCAUAUUAGCGGACUUGUUGCAGCGAAGGAAUGUCGCAGUCCAUUCGACUACUGUGACGUUGUUACCUCAACUACUCACAAGAACCUAAGGGGUCCUAGAGGUGGAAUAAUAUUUUUUAGGAAAGGGAAGAAUAUGAGGAAGCGAGGUGGAUCUUUUUCUCAAGGGGAUGAAAAUGAUUAUGAUUUUGAGGAUAAGAUAAAUUUCGCUGUAUUCCCUUCACUGCAAGGAGGGCCGCAUAAUAACCAUAUUGCUGCUUUAGCGAUAACGCUGAAGCAAGUUGCGACGCCUGAAUAUAAAGCAUACAUUCAACAAGUUAAGAAAAAUGCUCAAGCUUUGGCAUCGGCCUUGCUCAGAAGAAAAUGCAGAUUGGUUACUGGUGGCACUGAUAAUCACUUGGUGCUUUGGGACCUCAGAACUUUUGGCUUGACCGGGAAGAACUUUGAGAAGGUCUGUGAGCUGUGCCACAUCUCUAUAAAUAAGACACCGAUAUAUGGGGAUAAUGGCUCAAUAUCUCCCGGUGGCGUGCGUAUUGGAACACCUGCAAUGACUACUAGAGGUUGCCUAGAAGAUGACUUCGAGGUGAUCGCAGACUUCCUCAUAAGGGCGACACAGAUAGCUGGUAGUGUUCUGAAACAACACGGAAAAGUCCAGAAGGAAUUUCUAAGAGGCCUGGAGAACAAUAAGGACAUUAUAGAGCUCGGUAACCAGGUUGAGGCUUUCGCAUCACAGUUUGCGAUGCCAGGUUUUGAUGUAUGA